GAAACUUUGCUACUAAGCCACUGCCACGUGGCGGUACACAGAUCAAUAGAAAUGGGUCAAAUUAAUAUGUAAGAGUUAGCCAAUAAGAAGCUGGAGCUAAUGGGCCAAGCAAUGACUUAAUUAAUACAGUUUCUGUGUGAUUAUUUACGGUCUGAGAUAGCCGGGCAGCCCAGAUGAACAAGCGGCCUGCAGCUACAAGUAUCAACUGGCUAAGUGAGGAUAACAAUCUCUGAGCCAAACUCGAAUUGCCAUGAGAAGAGGGGUGAGGGAGGACUUUUAAAGGUGAAACCCACAAGAAGACCUUGAGUAUCCACACAAGCAAGCUUGUAAUUCCUGACUUUUAGCAGACCACAGUAUCCCAGGAGAUUUGCAUAAAGAGUGAUGUGUUCGGCUCUUGAGAAAUGUCUGUGCACCAUGUGCAUGCAGCGCCCAUGGAAGCACAAAGAAGGCAUUGGGUCCCUUUGAACUGGAGUUACAGACGACCAACUACCGUGUGGAUGCCGGGAGUCGUACUAGAGUCCUCUGGAAGAGCAGCCAGUGCUCUUAGCAGCUGAGCCACUUGUCCAGCCUGGAAUGAGGAGUUCUUUCUGCCUCUAGAAACCCUCUUUGUUUUCCCUGCUUUCUGGAAGCCCGAGGAACCAGGGGAACUUCAGACAGAACCCAGAGUAACAACACUAGAGGCUCUCGUGUGAAACGUUUUUAUUGA